rnacentral:misc_RNA from 1 species
CUGUCUUCUUCUCCAUCGCGCAGCAGGCAUCCCACGGCAGCAGCAGCAGGGAGCCGUGCUCCCCUCCAUGGCGAGCAGCAAGCUGGUGCCCCUGCUCCUUCCUCGGCGCUGAAGCUCCUCCCUGGCGUCCAUGGCGCCGGCGUAUCUCCAGCCGCCCCCUGCUCCUUGUUCCACGCGCAGCAGCCACGCGCAGGAAGUAAGGCCAGCAGCCAUGGCGAUUUCCCCUGCGAGCUCCCCUCUCUCCCAUGGCUGACCCUCUGCUCCCUGCACUUGGCGUCCUUGCAGCAGGCGAGCUCAGCUCCACCUCCCUGCGCUCAGCUCAUCUCCUUUGCCCAGCGCCCUCCCUCCUCUCUGUUUUUCCUUGAGCUCACGUGCAGGGAACGACGCCCUUUCUUCUCCACUGUGCUCGACGCCCCUCCAUUGCAGGCCGACGCCUCUGCUCCGGCCAGCAGUCCUGGCGUCUAG